rnacentral:lncRNA from 12 species
AUGAAAAACAAAACAGAAGAGCAAAAAUAUCCCAAAGGCAGCACAGGAGUCAACGUCCCAGGAGAAAGCAGAAAUGUUUCUUUGGAACCUGUACAUUUCAGCAGCAGAAAAUUUCCACCUGUAUCUAUGUGGCCUGAAUUGAAUCACAGAACCCAUAUCUGUGACCAUAGGAAAACCAUAUGCAGCUUGGUAAACAAGACUCAGAGAUUUGGACUCUGCCCCUUCCUCAAUGGUGGAAGAGAAGUAACAGUGAAGUUGGAGCAUUUCUGAUGAAGAUCGAAGAUACUAAGCAGGAUGCAUAAUAACAAAUAGAGAAAUGACAUUGAACUUUCCACAAAAUAAGUAAGUACAAAGUUUAUAAAAUUUAUAUAUAACAUCUAAAUAAAAUAUAAAAUUUAUAUAUAACCA